ACAUAAACAUUGAAAAGAUAAGUACAUGAUAAAGUCUUAACAAGAGAGCCUGUGUUUGGUGUGAGCGGGUAAGAUGGCAUGAUGGAAAAUGGUCUUGGAGUUUUCAAGGAUACGAGCAAGCGGGUACUCAUAUGUAUCGCGCGGUAAGUUGAAUUCGGUGGUGCUCGUUAACGCACAACGUAUAACCUAGUAGUAGUUACAGAUCUUCUCGACGAUUACUAUGAGGCGUACGUUUUGAGGUGUAGGACAUUAGCCCUACACGAACACCGGGUGGUAACACGUUACUUAGCGUCCCGCAG
rnacentral:ncRNA from 1 species